GGUGGCUCAGUGGUAGAGUGCUUGCCUUGCAUGCAUGAAGCCCUGGGUUCGAUUCCUCAGCACCA
rfam:Dipodomys ordii contig_17678, whole genome shotgun sequence.